rnacentral:rRNA from 1 species
GUCGAUGGUAGGUUACGCGCCUACCAUGGUUGUCACGGGUGACGGGGAAUCAGGGUUCGAUUCCGGAGAGGGAGCCUGAGAAACGGCUACCACAUCCAAGGAAGGCAGCAGGCGCGCAAAUUACCCACUCCCGGCACGGGGAGGUAGUGACGAAAAAUAACGAUACGGGACUCAUAUGAGGCUCCGUAAUCGGAAUGAGUACACUUUAAAUCCUUUAACGAGGAUCCACUGGAGGGCAAGUCUGGUGCCAGCAGCCGCGGUAAUUCCAGCUCCAGUAGUCUAUGCCAAAGUUGUUGCGGUUAAAAAGCUCGUAGUUGGAUCUCGGUUCGAGACGGUUGGACCGCCUUUCGGGCGGUUUUCCUGACCGCUGCGAACAGAAUGAACUGGCACGUCCGGCGGUGCUCUUCAUCGAGUGUCGUCGGGUGGCCGGUGCGUUUACUUUGAAAAAAUUAGAGUGCUCAAAGCAGGCGGAGAUGCCAGAAUAAUAGUGCAUGGAAUAAUGAAAUAGGAUCUCGGUUCUAUUUUGUUGGUUCUCGGAACGCGAGAUAAUGAUUAAUAGGAACAGACGGGGGCAUUCGUAUUGCGACGUUAGAGGUGAAAUUCUUGGAUCGUCGCAAGACGGAC